ACGCACUAGAGCCAGGACAGCACAGCAGAGUUCAGUGUUCUUCAAGAGGGACCAGGAAAAAGUACCUGUUACGCAACAAACGCCGCGGCUCGCUGAAAAUACCGACCAGAGCGAAUAAUGCCUGUUUAUAAGUGAAACCGUACACCUGUGUCAGCUGCCAGCCUGAUCUUCAAGGGUCUGAAGUGAAAGAAAGAAAGGCCGCCUCAGCAGGGAGGCCGCGGUGGCGCUGGGGCAGAGCCAGGCGGAACAAGGACGCAGUGGCCGCCAGGCCACCUGCCCGGGAGGCGGGACCUGAGUCAAUAAAGCCACUAAGCAAACAGUCGUGCUCAGUUUGUACAGUGGUUGAGGCUUGUGGGCCGAGGAUCUGGAAGCCGGCACACAUCCUCCCUUAAAUCCGAGCCCAGCUUUGUUUACACGGCUCGUCUCACGGCAAGAUGGCGGCCCGCGGGGUGCGGGGCAGCCUCGGGCGAGCGGGCCGUGGGCAGGGGGCUGCAUCCCGGGGCGGCUCCCCUCUCACACAGCGGGACUGGAGGUCUGUUAUCUUGAUGAAACAGGGCUGCGUGGAGAGCAUAAGGACGUUGGGGUGGGGCUCGUUAGCCGCAGUCACUUCGUGCGGGAAGGCAGCUUCUAAGGUGGGCAUUGGCCUCAGACUAAGAGGGGACUGGCCGUCCUAGCCAGAGAUCUCCGUCAUCUUCCAAGCAGGGCUCGCUGCUCAAGCAGCAAUCGUUAUUGAGAAGCGGGACAGAUUUGAAUGAAAGCACUUUGGGGAUGUCUAUGUCUGUCUUAGUGUGGUGGGUGGUAAGAUGCGUUAAUGAACGAGCUGUGCUAAUGACUAGGUUACUGUGGAAAUAUUUCUGAGGGGUGGAGAGGGUGACUCUCAGGAUAACCUGCACUGUAUUUCAUAUUUUGGAAGUAGUGAGAGCUGAGAAGAAAGCAGACAGUAGUAAGGUGCUACGUAGAGCCAGGCAAUGUUCCAUGCGCACCAGCUAUUCUGCUGGCGCAUGCGUGUGUCUCUCAUCUCUGCAACAGGAAGUUUUGCUGGGUCCAGCAUGUUGGCUCAUGCCUGAAAUUCUAGCACUCGGGAGGCGG
rnacentral:lncRNA from 1 species